rnacentral:lncRNA from 1 species
UGCUAUUUAAAGAUCAGUUACAGCACCCUUUCCUGUAGCCGCAAUGAACACACAACAAAGUAUCAUGUGUCUGAUUAAAUGUUUAAUCAUCGCUGUUGGCCCCGCCGACUGUGGCGGAGACUCACGGGUUCCUUGGAGCGGGUUCAGCUCUUAGACAGAGCAGGAGAAGGCCUCUGAAUUCCCACCUCCAGAGCCUCUCGAAGGCUCUUUCUCCCCCCCCCCCCCCCCGUUCAGGCAAAUUCUGUAAAGUUAUUUUAAUCACUUUUAUAAGCAUUCCAUCCAUGAAGCACUUCAGUCUCCAAAUUCUGACCAGCUCAACAUUUCCAAAUUCUUCACCGACUUAGAACAAACACUGCUUCUAAGUGCCAAAUGUGUUCGUCAGCUGACCCAGUGGCCUCCUUCUCAUUUGCUUGCUCUUUCCUGCAAUUUUAGAAGCAUAGCCCUCAGCGAUGUCUGACAUGGCUCCCUUCUCCUGGUCUGUGGUGACACUUGUCAAUACCAGAAUGGAAACUCAGCAGCCCUAAGAAGAUGGGGUCGGAAGCCCAUAGAGGACGAUCUCUCAUGCACACGUGCUUGCAAUAAAAACUAUUACCAGUGGUCUCUGAAGACCACAGCCCUGCACAGAGGCCACCACAACCUUAUGCAAAGAGCACUUCAAUAGGACAGCCACCCAGCAGCCGCCUGUUAAACUUUGGACUGACUCCACCCUUGUUAUUGAGCCUCGCUGCCAAGGAUAAUUUUUUCAAAACAACUUACAUAACCUCCCCUGUUUUACCUUUGGAAGCCCUUGCCUUCCUCCUCUGCCUCUCGGAAAAUGCCUACAACCCAUCCCGAC